UCGAACGGGCUCUUCGGAGCUAGUGGCGGACGGGUGAGUAACGCGUGAGGAUCUGCCUUCAGGAGGGGGAUAACGACUGGAAACGGUCGCUAAGUACCGCAUAUGCCUACGGGUGAAAGAUUUAUCGCCUGGAGAUGAACUCGCGUCAGAUUAGCUAGUUGGUGGGGUAAGAGCCUACCAAGGCGACGAUCUGUAGCUGGUCUGAGAGGAUGAUCAGCCACACUGGGACUGAGACACGGACCAGACUCCUACGGGAGGCAGCAGUGGGGAAUUGGCCGCAAUGGGCGCAAGCCUGACGGAGCAAGACCGCGUGCGGGAUGACGGCCUAAUGGUUGUAGACCGCUUGUCUCUGGGAAGAUGAUGACGGUACCAGAGGAAUCAGCCUCGGCUAGCUCCGUGCCAGCGGCCGCGGUGAUACGGAGGAGGCAAGCGUUAUCCGGAGUUAUUGGGCGUGGAGCGUCCGUAGGUGGUUAUUCAAGUCUGCUGUCGAAGCGUGGGGCUUAA
rnacentral:rRNA from 1 species